AUUUGCCACUCGUAGACUGCGGUUCCUCCACGCCGUCCUCACCCGCCUGGCGAUUGCUCGCUACGUUCUGUUAGCC
rnacentral:sRNA from 18 species